rnacentral:rRNA from 1 species
UACAGAGGGUGCGAGCGUUGUUCGGAAUUAUUGGGCGUAAAGGGCGCGUAGGCGGUGCGGUAAGUCACCUGUGAAAUCUCCUGGCUCAACUGGGAGCUUGCAGGCGAAACUGCCGUGCUGGAGUGUGGGAGAGGUGCGUGGAAUUCCUGGUGUAGCGGUGAAAUGCGUAGAGAUCGGCAGGAACACCCAGGGGGAAACCAGUGGACUGGCACGGAGCUGACGCUCAGGUGCGAAAGCGUGGGGAGCGAACCGG